rnacentral:rRNA from 1 species
AGAGUUUGAUCAUGGCUCAGGACAAACGCUGGCGGCGUGCCUAACACAUGCAAGUCGAACGUCCUGUUUUCGGACAGGAAGUGGCGGACGGGUGAGUAACACGUGGGUAUCUACCCUCAGGUGAGGAAUACCGACGAGAAAUCGUCGACAAUACCGCAUAUCCUUCUGCGGAAGGAAAGCUCGUAAGAGCGCCUGGGGAUGAGCUUGCGGUCGAUUAGUUAGUUGGUGGGGUAAUGGCCUACCAAGGCGACGAUCGAUAGCUGGUCUGAGAGGACGAUCAGCCACACUGGGAUUGAGAACGGCCCAGACUCCUACGGGGGGCAGCAGUGAGGAAUAUUCGUCAAUGGGGGAAACCCUGAACGAGCAACGCCGCGUGCAGGAUGACGGCCUUCGGGUUGUAAACUGCUUUUCUUGGGGACGAGAACGGACGGUACCCAAGGAAGAAGCCCCGGCUAACUACGUGCCAGCAGCCGCGGUAAUACGUAGGGGGCGAGCGUUGUCCGGAGUUACUGGGCGUAAAGCGCACGCAGGCGGUUGAUCGCGUUCGGAGUGACAGUGUUCGGCUUAACUGAACAAGUGCUCUGAAAACGGGUCAACUUGAGGGUCUUAGAGGAAAGCGGAAUUCCGAGUGGAGCGGUGAAAUGCGUAGAGAUUCGGAGGAACACCAAAGGCGAAGGCAGCUUUCUGGAGGACACCUGACGCUCAGGUGCGAAAGCUAGGGGAGCGAACGGGAUUAGAUACCCCGGUAGUCCUAGCCGUAAACGAUGACCACUAGGCGUGGGAGGUAUCGACCCCUUCCGUGCCGAAGCCAACGCAUGAAGUGCCCCGCCUGGGGAGUACGGCCGCAAGGCUAAAACUCAAAGGAAUUGACGG